rnacentral:rRNA from 1 species
UACGUAGGGUGCGAGCGUUGUCCGGAAUUAUUGGGCGUAAAGAGCUCGUAGGCGGUCUGUCGCGUCGAAUGUGAAAACCCGGGGCUCAACUCCGGGCUUGCAUUCGAUACGGGCAGGCUAGAGUUCGGUAGGGGAGUCUGGAAUUCCUGGUGUAGCGGUGAAAUGCGCAGAUAUCAGGAGGAACACCAAUGGCGAAGGCAGCUCGCUGGGACGGUACUGACGCUGAGGCGCGAAAGCGUGGGGAGCAAACAGG